rnacentral:tRNA from 1 species
GCUCCCAUAGCUCAACGGACAGAGCGCCCGCCUUCUAAGCGGGAAAUAGAAGUUCGAUUCUUCUUGGGAGCA